rnacentral:lncRNA from 1 species
GGGUGGGCUUCCUACUGCUGUGUUCAGGGUCAGGGCUUGUAACUUGCUUAGGAGGACCAUGGGUGGGCAAGCCUUCAAGUCCAAUGAACUUAUAGCAAAUUUUUCCUGAGAUGUACACAGGUCAGGGGAAUGUGGAGUAUCCCAAGCUCUCAUCAGAUUACUGUAGUCUAUGACCCGAAUGUGAAGACCCUGCUUCCAAGACUGAAGUGUUUGCCUUCUGGAUUCUGCUGCAGGACAUGCAUCUUCAAUAAGGUACCGAGGAUCGAACUCAGGACCUUGUGCCUGAGAGGCAGGCGUGGUGCCACUGAGCUAAACCCCCGGCCCAAAUAUGUAUGCUAUAUUUGCUAUUGGCUACAUUUUAU